ACGGUCAUACCGGUGACUUGCCUCGAAUUGAGUUACUCGGCUCGCGCGUCGGAUGACUUGAAAGGGGUUGGCGUCGUAUAGAAAUUAGAUUGAUUCUGGUAGAAUUAAUUUAACUCGGGUGGUCAGCUACGGACGAGUCCCUUCGCCCCGGCUUAUUGAACCCGUUACCGGGGAGCCGGAGGCACUUUAAUAAAAAGUGCGCGUUUGACAAUGAUUCACAAUGAUUUGCUUUUGGGAAAUUAAUUCCAGGACGUUGACUCUUCGAACAUUGGUAAGUAUGUUUUGUGUUUAAAUGGUUUUAUUUUGUUUUGUUUAAUUUAUUUAGAGCUCAUUAUUUGUCUUUUAAAUGUCCGACAAGUGCCAUGUACAGUCUAUUUUUUUUUUUUUUUUGUGGUUUUAUGUUUUUGUUUCAGACAAAAUUAGACUAAUUACAUUAACUCGACAACUUCGCUUCUCAACGGUCCUGGAACAAAUUAGCGUCGACUUCCAGGGUUUGUAGGAAUUUACAUUUAGGGGAUUUACAUUUACCCCUUCAUUUACAUUUACCCCUCCGUGAGUCGUCACCUUAUCGCAGUGGAGGGGUUUGGGUGCCCCAAUGAUCCCAGGUGAUAUGUUGUCUGGGGCAUCAUGCCACUGGUAGGGUCACCCAUGGCAAAAAGGUCCUAGGAGAGGGGCCAGACAAAGCACGGCACACACAAGCCCCUUAUGAAAAAAAACAUAAACGGACUUCGUUUUCCCUCGCCCGGACUCGGGUAACCGGGGCCCCCCUCUGGAGCCAGGCCUGGAGGUGGGGCUCAAAGGUGAGCGUCUGGUGGCCGGGCCUUCGCCCAUGGGGCCCGGCUGGGCACAGCCCGAAAAGGAAACGUGGGUCCCCCUUCCCAUUGGCUCACCACCUGUGGGAGGGGCCAAAGGGUUCAGGUGCAGUGUAAGCUGGGCGGUGGACAAAGGCAGAGACUUUGGCGGUCCGAUCCACGGCUGCAGAAGCUGGCUCUUGGGACAUGGAAUGUCACCUCUCUGACUGCAAAGGAGCCUGAGCUGGUGUGCGAGGCAGAAAAGUCCGACUACAAGACCUUCACACUAUUGUUAUUCCUGUACUUUAUUAUUAGUGUGAAGGUGAAGCCCUGUUAAACUUUAAUUUUACCGCUUCUCCUCAACAUGAAUUGAUUAUGAUAUUAUGUUGUAGCACAGCGAGAGUCACGCACUUCAGGAAGACUUGUAGAAGGGACGCCUGCAGCAUGGAACACAAACUCCCAAACACACAUGACUUCUCCUGCUUCUUCUUAUGUUCCUGGGUCUUGCCUGUGGUUCUACAUGCAUCCAGUCAUGCAGACAGAAAACACCUUAGCCUUUAACUGUCGGAAGCUGUCCCUCUGCGAGGCCUCAUAGUAUAGUCUGUUUUCUGUUCUGGUUUUUAAAU